CGAUUCAGGUACACAUUCUGCACACUUUACUUCAUACAUACAUUUAUUUUGGAUUAUGCAGAUUACUGUUUCCGACAUGAUAAAAUAAAAAGAGUAAAAUAUUUCUAAUCAUGAUUAAUCUCAAUCUGUGAUAUUUCCUGAAAACUUGCAAUUAUUAUAAAAUCAUUUUAAAACCCUGCGUUACUUAAGUCAUUAUGGAAUAUGUUUUGGUAGAGUAUGAGUUUCUUAUUCUUGAUAUCAUUGUUGCUUGGAGAAUUUAUUUCAAAAUAUUCAAAAUUCUAGCUACCAUCCUCAGUGUUUUAUAUGCCUGAUAAAACUGAAAUAUUAAUUAUGAUUAUAAAAGCUAUCUGCUCUGUAUUGAGUUUGUUCAAAAUGAGUUAGACCCUUGUUGAUAGAUUUAUCAUGCUCCCAAGAUCAAGACACUAUUUCAGUAAGAUUCACUCUUCCGAAGUAUUAUUGCAUUAGAGGCAUGGGCUAUGCAAAAAAAUAGAAGAUAUUUCGAGGAAAUAAAAAGGAGCAAGUGCUCGACAACCUCGCAGAAAAAAUGGACAAGUGUCCGGCAGUAGAAUUAGGGGUACCUC
rnacentral:lncRNA from 1 species